CCUCGUUCCCCCCCUUUCUUAUUUUAUUUUUUCCAAUCCAUUACAAUUCAUUGUCCACCUCUGAUCCCAAUGGGCGGUGAGCAAUGAUGACAGCGGCGAGAGGGGGUCAUGGCUCCAUCGCCGGUAUGUGCCGUUACCGUCUCGGCCGUGGUGGAAACAGGUCCGGUGGAGUCGAAGGUAGAUCCAGCGCCGGAAUUAACAUGUUGCUUCAACGGCUUCGUCACCGUUCUCCACGUUUUUGGCAAGCUCUACCAUUGAUUCGAUCUCUCGAUCGUGAUUCUGAUGAUACCUCCAUUUCGGAUUUGGCGCGUGAUAUUCGGCUCCCCACUCGGGGCUUAAAAACUUCACCAAAAAUGCUAGGGAACUCGUUACUAGCCUUCAGAAGAUUGACAGUGACAACUAUCCAGAGACCUUGAAUCGCAUGUUCAUCAUCAAUGCAGGUUCUGGAUUUAGAAUACUGUGGAACACCAUAAAAUCCUUCCUUGAUCCUAAGACCACAGCAAAAAUCCAUGUUCUUGGCAACAAGUAUGACACUAAAUUGCUUGAGAUAAUUAAUGCAAGUGAGUUGCCUGACUUUUUAGGAGGUACUUGUACAUGUGCUGAUCAAGGAGGAUGUAUGCGCUCUGAUAAGGGCCCAUGGAAUGAUAUUGAAAUAAUGAAGAUGGUUCAGAAUGGUGAUCACAAAAGUUCAAGAAAAUGUGAGUUUCACGUUGAGGAAGAGAAAGUAGUUUCAUAGGGACACGAGACUUCCAAGGUGGAGGAAAAUCUCACCUCACAUGUUUCUCCAGUUUGUGAAGAGGAUCUGUUAUGGACAAAUUUACUAUUGCUUUGAGAGAAAUCAGUACAUACAAGGAACUUCUUCGAUCACAAGUAGAGUACGUGCUCAAUGACCGGUUCCUACACAUUAUCAAUGUGGACAUCCAUGAAGUCAAGUCUUCAGUGCUUCAUUUGCAACCAAAGUCAACUGUGGGAACUUCAGCAUAUAUUGCUCUAGAAGUAUUGCUGAGACAAGAGUAUGAUGGCAAGGUAGAUUAUUUUGGUUACAUGGUAUUGUUGAAAGAAGAAAAAAUUGUUAACUACAUAUGGUAGAUACUAUGAUGAGAAGAGUAUGUCUUUUGGGACCGAAAACAUUUGAAUUUGUGAUCUGCUCUCUUCAUCUCUGGAUUCGCAAAACACUUUGGAAGAUGGGUCAUGCUAUAGUCAAUUGAAGUUACAGUAUGUGCUAACUUAACUUCAUGGCCUUGUGAGCUAUGAUCUUUUUCUUUUGACCUUGCUGUCUGUUUUGAUCUUCAAUCAUCAAUGACGUGUGAAAAUCAGCAGCUAACUAUAUCUAUAUUUGUGAGCUAUAUUUAAUAUUAUUUUUUUAUUGAUGUAAUUUAACAGAAAUGUUUUUAUUGAAAAAUAUAAUCGCGGAGAA